CCCUGGGAUUUCCGCCUAUGCCUGAAGAGUCAUCCCAGCUCAGGCACGCUGGAACAUACCCAAUGGCUCCAGAGAGGUACAGCCCGCGGUGGCAGUAAGGGUAAGCAAGUGGGGAUUCGGAGAAGUACUCUGAUAUGAGCUACAUCAUGGAUCCAUUGUUCAGAGACUGUAGCAAAGGCUCAUUGAAGGGUAGCAGUGCUCCCUUCUCCCCAGACACAGAUCCUGUGCAGCCCAGUGUGGACCUGGAACUCGCUCGUAAGAAGGAGCUGGAGGUCAUAGAGGAGAAGAUAGCUCGCAAGAAAGCUGUUCUUGCUACACGAGAGCUUGAACACGGAGCUAAGGACAUGCCUAAAAAACAGACUGCAUCCACAACAGUGAAGGGCAUAUCUAAACAGACCAAAUAUGGACAAUACAAUAUUCAAAACAUACAACAAUGUCGCCGACAGGUCGUCACGCGUAUGCCUACCUCUUAAACGGAGGGUGCUGGACAUUCUAAGUAAGUUCAGAAGAACACCGGUACGGUACCUACUGCCUAAGGUAACCUAUUAGUUCUGUAUUUAUUAAUUAGGGUUGGGGUCAAUUCUGAAUUUAGUUGCUAAUUGGUCUCACAUUUCCAUAAAAUGUUGGGAUUGGAAUUGGCCACACGCCACAUGAAGCAGAAUUUAAUUAGAAUUUAAGGGAUAGAUUUGGGUCAAAUUCCCUUUACUUUGUGGCCUGGAGAUAUGUAAAUAUUAUUUUGUAGGUUGUCUCCCUUACACACUGAACAAAAAUAUAAAUGCAACAUGUAAAGUGUUGGUUUCAUGAGCUGAAAUAAAAGAUCCCAGAAAUAUUCUAUAUAUAUUACUUCCCAGUUAGUGAGCAUUUCCCUUUUGCCAAGAUCAUCCAUUAAUCUGACAGGUGUGGCAUAUCAAGAAGCUGAUUAAACAGUGUGAUCAUUACACAGGUGCACCUUGUGCUGGGGACAACAAAAGGCCACUCUAAAAUGUGAAGUUUUGUUACAUAACACAAUGCCACGGAUGUCUCAUGUUUUGAGGGAGCUUGCAAUUGGCAUUCUGAAUGCAGGAAUGUCCACUAGAGCUGUUGCCAGAGAAUUGUAUUUUUUAUUUCUCCACCAUAAGCCGCCUCCAAUGUCAUUUUAGAGAAUUUGUCAGUACAUCCAACCGGCCUCAACCGCAGACGAUGUGUAUGGCGUUGUGUGGGCUAGCGGUUUGCUGAUGUCAACGUUGUGAACAGAGUGCCACAUGGUGGCGGUUUGGUUAUGGUAUGGACAGGCAUUAGCUACGGCAAACACACAAUUGCAUUUUAAUGAUGACAAUUUGACUGCACAGAGAUAUUGUGAUGAAAUCCUGAGGCCCAUUGCCGUGCCAUUCAUCCGUCACCAUCACCCCUUGUUUCAGCAUGAUAAUGCACAGCCCCAUGUCGCAAGGGUCUGUACAUAAUUCCUGGAACCUGAAAAUGUCCUAGUUCUUCCAUGGCCUGUAUACUCACCAGACAUGUUACCCAUUGAGCAUGUUUGGGAUGCUCUGGAUCGACGUGUAGGACAACGUGUUCCAGUUCCCGCCAAUAUCCAGGAACUUUGCACAGCGAUUGAAGAGUGGGACAACAUAUCACAGGCCACAAUCAACACCCUGAUCAACUCCAUGCAAAGGAGAUGUGUCGCGCUGCAUGAGACAAAUGGUAGUCACACCAGAUACUGACUGGUUAUCUGAUUCAUGCCUCUACCUUUUUUAAAGGUAUGUGUGACCAACAGAUGCAUAUCUGUAUUCCCAGUCAUCUGAAAUCCAUAGAUAAGGGCAUAAUGAAUAUAUUUCAAUUGACUGAUUUUCUUAUAUGAACUGUUACUCUGUAAAAUCUUUGUUUUUGUUCAGUAUAACUCGCUAUACAUGUUAUUAAAUGUAAUGAUAGAAAAACAUACAUUUCUCAAUUUCAUGACAAAAAUACAAACAAAAUACUGUUUGACAUCAUUGAGUUAUAAUCAAACUAACAUUUAAUUGUAUCUGUAAUCUUUAGCAAGAGGUGGCAGGUAAUUUUGGCAAAGUAUUUGUCAAUGGGUCGAGACUCAUAUAUUCAUAUCUCAGUUGAAUUUCUUUGAUUUUGAAUUAAAUUCUACUUCCUUUAUUUCAAAUUCUGCUUCCUGUGGGGUGUGACCAAUUCAAAUUUCAAUUGAUGUCGAAUAUCAUUUUAAUUCCGAAUUGACGUUAACCCUGUUAUGAAUAGAUAUUUCCUGAUAGAUCAAAAAGAAGUUGCUGCUUGAUAGUAAAUAGUUCCAAUAAUGCAUUUGUGCAAAAACACUUCCAGAAUGAAUCAAGGUGUGUAGUGGAAAAAGUCAAGUGCCUUUAUUGUUUACGGCUUAUGCAUAGCGAGAAUGGAAAAAACCCACACCAUCAGGGUGACCACCAGAUCUUUCUUGAUGUUUGGAUUCUGAUGUUUCUACUACAUGGACUUAGCAGUAGAAAAACCUGGUUCUUACAUGAACUAUUAAGAGUCUAAGAGGUAAAUAAAAACUGACCUUGGAUCACUAUCCAGGGGCAACCUCAUUACACAUACUAAAAUGGUGCUUUUAGUAUGUGGUCCUUUUGUAGCACAGUUGGUAGAGCAUGGCGCUUGUAACGCCUGGGUGGUGGGUUCGAUUCCCGGGACCACCCAUACGUAGAAUGUAUGCACACAUGACUGUAAGUCGUUUUGGAUAAAAGCGUCCGCUAAAUGGCAUAUAUUAUUCUAAAAUAUUGUCUCUAUUUUCCUCCAGGAUACCCCUGCCGAGCUGAAGAAUCAAAACAAGAUGCAAGCAUUGGAUCUGAUGAUUAGAGCUCCCCUAGAAAAUGAAGAGGCCCGUCCUCUGAGACUGAGGGUUUUAAUGAACCAGCGACGCUAUCCCGACAAUGAGGUGGUCCCUGAUGAUGAACCGCAUAAUCCAACCAUUCAGAGGCUACUUAAUUCACUCAGGACACAGGAGCAAGAUAAAGCAGCCACGGGCUUCCAGCGCUUCCUCAAUGUCCUCAAUGAAGGGGUGGACCUCAACAAGCUCUCAAAGAUCGUCAACGACGAAAAUGGGUUACUCAUUGUGGGCGAGGAGCUACCACAAGUUUGGCCGACUCUGCCCGAGGGUCAUGUUGACUCCAGCAGUAGAUCCAAGUCUUCUCUAGUUGAGGAGAAGACGAAGGUGAGGCUUGAGGAUGAGCAGCGGCACGAGCAGAUGCAGACCCUGCUGGAGAUCGUUGGGCUGGACUUGGGGGUUGAGGAGUUGGGUCAGCUGACAGACAGGACCAAUGACAGGCUGUAUGGGAAGAUGGGAGACUUGAAAAGGAAGGAGUUCGAGAAUGAGAAGGGGAAAAGAGAAAAGGGAAAGCGAGCCCUCAUUUAAACAUCUUAGUACUUCCUCAUUACCAUCAGACAGCGCCAGCCCCCUUCUAAACCAGCACUCAAACAUGACCGUUGAAUACAGCAGCUCUAGUGACAGGGUAUGGGACAUAGAGAGAGACGGGGACAGAUCUGAGAGGGACUGCCACUGACACUCUGGUGCCAGAGAUCUGAAAGAGAUUGAGAGGGAGAUGGGCACAGACACUCUAGUACCGGAGAGAGAACAUGGACAGAGUCAGAGAAACUAAGAGAUCAGAAGGAAAUGGAGAGAAAGACAGUAACAGAUCUGAGAGAGUCAGAGAUCCAGAGAGAGACUGGGACAGGGGGAGGCCGGGCCGAGCGAGAGACUGGGACAGGGGGAGGCCGGGCCGAGCGAGCGACUGGGACAGGGGGAGGCCGGGCCGAGCGAGCGACUGGGACAGGGGGAGGCCGGGCCGAGCGAGCGACUGGGACAGGGGGAGGCCGGGCCGAGCGAGCGACUGGGACGGGGACAGACCUGAGCAGCACAGGGACAGAUCUGAGAGGCACAGAGACAGAGUGAGGUGCCUGCAAAGGGACAGGAACAAACAUUCUAGGACCAGAGACUGGGACAGUGAGAGCGACUGGGACAGCCACUCUAUUACUAGAGACUGGGACAUGGAGAGAUCUGAGAGGGAUUGGUAUGGGAAUGAGUCCAGGGAAAGCUCCAUUGAGCUCUACUCAUACUCUAUGGACCCUAUAUACCCUGUUUCUCAUGCAUCUAUGAUGGCAACCUGCUCCCCCACCCAGUACUCUCAGUAUAUGGCAUACCACAGCAGCCCCUACACCAUUGCCUUCCCUCCAGGGUGGGGUUAUCCUCAUGGUACUAUGCCCCCUGGUACCAUGCUUCCUGUUACAAUGCCACCUGGAAUCAUGCCUGCUGGUGCCAUUUCACCUGGUAAUAAGCCCCUCCUACCUAACCCCUCUGGGGAUCCACCCUACCCCAGUGCCCCCCCAUAUUUCUCUAAUGGAACCACAGCCUUAAACCAGACAUGCGUAUACUCCCAGCCUGCUAGCAACCUCCAGCUCACAUCUACCCAGCCUGCUACUAGCUACCUCCAGCUCUCAUCUACCCAGGCUGCCAACACUGCAGCAGUCUUGCCCCUCCUAUGUAACCCCCCCAUUUGUCACAAGAAACAUGCUCCCUGGUAUAAAUAAAAAUUAAAAAUAUGCCCUGAAGCAAGUUUGUAGACAAAUGGAACGGAAAUGGCGCUCCACCAAAUUGGAAGUCUUCCGACUAGCUUGGAAAGAACUAUCGAAAAGCCCUCACUGCUGCUCGAUCGGCCUACUUUUCCAACCAGACUGAGGUGGAUAAAAACAAUCGAAAAUGUAUUUUUGAUACUAUCGAAAAGAUAACUAAAAAGCAGCAUUCCCCAUGUGAGGAUGGCCUUCACUUCACCUAAGCAGUUACAUCCUGCCUGGUUGGCCCUGUCUGGGGGUAUCAUCGGACUGGGCCACAUUAUCUAAGCACUGAGUUCUGUCUAAGCACUUUGUGACAUUUACUGAUGGAAAAAAGGCUUUCAAAAGUAAAUUAAUUUGAUUGAUUGACCUUAAGUCAGAGAUACAACAUACAUCCAACCCGCUAGCAACCACCAUCUCACAUACACCCAGCCCGCUAGCAACCACAAGGAAAAGAGAUAGAAGCAUGCAGAAGCCGUAGUGAAAGCGAAGAGACAGAAACAUGUAAAAGUGUCCUGUCAGAUGGUGACAAAGUCCCCCUCUGAACCGGGAUGAAUGAAGAGAGCAAAGGGGGUAAACAAUAUAUUCCUCUCAGGUAUUUUCAUUUAGAGUUAUCACAAUCAUCUAAGGAAGCGUCUGUGUAAGAGGAAACGGCUUUUGAAGCGGAGGAAUAAGGCUCCCCAGCACAAAAUGAAGUGACUGCUUGCAGAAGUAUCAGGGAAAAAGUGACCCCUCAGGUUGUUGCAACGGGUUUCCCCUUUGAAGAGGAGCCCAAGGUCCAGAAGGAGUAGCAAUGAUAGAUGGGGAGAAACUAAAUGCUGACACAGAAGAAGUGGUCCCUCAGGAAGCUAGAUUUGUCAUGACACUAGCGAAAGGAUUUGUUAUAGUUUAUCCUCAUCCUUAAAUGCUUCAUGUUGAAGCUAUUUUCAGUGUAAUGUUUUGCAUUGUGUGUGGUAUGGGUAGGGCCAGGAGUUUUUCUUGACUAUGAUAUCUGCUCAGUAAACACAUUUUCUCGCCCGUUAUAAACCAAAUCUUAAGGCCGUGGAGUUGACUUGGUCUGGUCAUGUGGUCAGGAAAAACUCCUGGCCUUGGGCAUAGUACAUGUGUAUCAAUGCAAUGACAUGUUUGUAAGUUCUCAUGCCUGAUAGCUAAAAGCAAGAAAACUGCCCAGGUUUCACUCCCCAGUUCAGUCUAUAGAUCGUCUUUCACGUUGUAUAUAUUUAAAUUAAUAAAGUAUUCUGUCUAAUA
ensembl:lncRNA